CUCAAAUGAAUUGACGGGGGCCCGCACAAGCGGUGGAGCAUGUGGUUUAAUUCGAUGCAACGCGAAGAACCUUACCUACUCUUGACAUCCAGAGGACUUAGCAGAGAUGCUUUGGUGCCUUCGGGAACUCUGAGACAGGUGCUGCAUGGCUGUCGUCAGCUCGUGUUGUGAAAUGUUGGGUUAAGUCCCGCAACGAGCGCAACCCUUAUCCUUUGUUGCCAGCGAUUCGGUCGGGAACUCAAAGGAGACUGCCAGUGAUAAACUGGAGGAAGGUGGGGAUGACGUCAAGUCAUCAUGGCCCUUACGAGUAGGGCUACACACGUGCUACAAUGGCAUAUACAAAGAGAAGCGACCUCGCGAGGGCAAGCGGACCUCAUAAAGUAUGUCGUAGUCCGGAUUGGAGUCUGCAACUCGACUCCAUGAAGUCGGAAUCGCUAGUAAUCGUAGAUCAGAAUGCUACGGUGAAUACGUUCCCGGGCCUUGUACACACCGCCCGUCACACCAUGGGAGUGGGUUGCAAAAGAAGUAGGUAGCUUAACCUUCGGGAGGGCGCUUACCACUUUGUGAUUCAUGACUGGGGUGAAGUCGUAACAAGGUAAC
rnacentral:rRNA from 1 species